rnacentral:rRNA from 1 species
UGCCGCGUGGAUGAAGAAGGCCUUCGGGUUGUAAAGUCCUUUCGUGGGGGACGAAAAGGUGGGUCCUAAUACAAUCUGCUGUUGACGUGAACCCAAGAAGAAGCACCGGCUAACUCCGUGCCAGCAGCCGCGGUAAUACGGGGGGUGCAAGCGUUAAUCGGAAUCACUGGGCGUAAAGGGUGCGUAGGCGGUACGUUAGGUCUGUCGUGAAAUCCCCGGGCUCAACCUGGGAAUGGCGGUAGAAACCGGCGCACUAUAGUAUGGGAGAGGGUGGUGGAAUUCCACGUGUAGCAGUGAAAUGCCUAGAG